rnacentral:rRNA from 1 species
UGGGGAAUUUUGGACAAUGAGCUAACGCUUGAUCCAGCAAUAUAGAGUGAAUGAUGAAGGCCGUUUGGUUGUAAAAUUCUUUUGUUAACUACGAUUAUGACAUUGUUAAUGAAAAAGCCCUGGCAAAUUUCGUGCCAGCAGCCGCGGUGAUACGAAAGGGGCUAGUGUUAUUCGAAAUUAUUGGGCGUAAAACGUAUGUAGACUACUAUAGUUUUGUAAUUUACGGAAAUUCUAACCAUAUUAGAAAGUUAAUUAUACAAAUAGUUUGAGUAUAUUAUAGAAGAUUAUAGAAUUUCAAAAGAAAAAAUAAAAUUUGUAGAUAUUUGAAAGAAUGUCUGUGGCUAAAGCGAUAAUCUAAGUAUAUACUGACGUUGAUAUACGAAAGCAUGGGGAGCAAACA